AUUGAACGCUGGCGGCAGGCCUAACACAUGCAAGUCGAGCGGAUGAAGGGAGCUUGCUCCUGGAUUCAGCGGCGGACGGGUGAGUAAUGCCUAGGAAUCUGCCUGGUAGUGGGGGACAACGUCCGGAAACGGGCGCUAAUACCGCAUCCGUCCUGAGGGAGAAAGUGGGGGAUCUUCGGACCUCACGCUAUCAGAUGAGCCUAGGUCGGAUUAGCUAGUUGGUGGGGUAAAGGCCUACCAAGGCGACGAUCCGUAACUGGUCUGAGAGGAUGAUCAGUCACACUGGAACUGAGACACGGUCCAGACUCCUACGGGAGGCAGCAGUGGGGAAUAUUGGACAAUGGGCGAAAGCCUGAUCCAGCCAUGCCGCGUGUGUGAAGAAGGUCUUCGGAUUGUAAAGCACUUUAAGUUGGGAGGAAGGGCAGUAAGUUAAUACCUUGCUGUUUUGACGUUACCAACAGAAUAAGCACCGGCUAACUUCGUG
rnacentral:rRNA from 1 species